UACAGAGGGUGCGAGCGUUAAUCGGAAUUACUGGGCGUAAAGCGUGCGCAGGUGGUUAUGUAAGUCGGGUGUGAAAGCCCCGGGCUCAACCUGGGAAUUGCAUUCGAGACUGCAUGGCUAGGGUGCGGAAGAGGGAAGCGGAAUUUCCGGUGUAGCGGUGAAAUGCGUAGAUAUCGGAAGGAACACCAGUGGCGAAAGCGGCUUCCUGGUCCAGCACCGACAUUCAGGCACGAAAGCGUGGGGAGCAAACAGG
rnacentral:rRNA from 1 species